GAUGAACGCUGGCGGCGUGCUUAACACAUGCAAGUCGAACGGUGAACGAGGGAGCUUGCUCCCUCCGGAUCAGUGGCGAACGGGUGAGUAACACGUGAGCAAUCUGCCCUGGACUCUGGGAUAAGCGUUGGAAACGACGUCUAAUACCGGAUACGAGACGCGAAGGCAUCUUCAGCGUCUGGAAAGAACUUCGGUCCAGGAUGAGCUCGCGGCCUAUCAGGUAGUUGGUGAGGUAACGGCUCACCAAGCCUACGACGGGUAGCCGGCCUGAGAGGGUGACCGGCCACACUGGGACUGAGACACGGCCCAGGCUCCUACGGGAGGCAGCAGUGGGGAAUAUUGCACAAUGGGCGCAAGCCUGAUGCAGCAACGCCGCGUGGGGGACGACGGCCUUCGGGUUGUAAACCUCUUUUAGCAGGGAAGAAGCGAAAGUGACGGUACCUGCAGAAAAAGCACCGGCUAACUACGUGCCAGCCGCCGCGGUAAAAC
rnacentral:rRNA from 1 species